rnacentral:rRNA from 1 species
UACAGAGGGGGCAAGCGUUGUUCGGAAUUACUGGGCGUAAAGGGCGCGUAGGCGGUUCGCUAAGUUGAAUGUGAAAACUCUGGGCUUAACCCAGAGCCUGCAUCCAAAACUGGCGAACUGGAGUACUGGAGGGGAAAGCGGAAUUCCUGGUGUAGCGGUGAAAUGCGUAGAUAUCAGGAGGAACACCGGUGGCGAAGGCGGGUCUCUGGGCCGAUACUGACGCUGAGGAGCGAAAGCGUGGGGAGCGAACAGG